rnacentral:piRNA from 1 species
UGAUCCACUUGGACUUGAGGUUUGUACA